rnacentral:rRNA from 1 species
AUUGAACGCUAGCGGGAUGCUUUACACAUGCAAGUCGAACGAGUGGCGGACGGGUGAGUAAUAUAUCGGAACGUGCCCAGUAGCGGGGGAUAACUACUCGAAAGAGUGGCUAAUACCGCAUACUAUUGGAGCGGCCGAAAACGGCUUAGCUAGUUGUGGUGGUAAAGGCUCUCCAAGGCAACGAUCCGUAGCUGGUUUGAGAGGACGACCAACGAGACUGUGCCUGAGACACAGCCCAGAGUCAUACACGAGGCAGCGGUUGGGAAUGUUGCACAAUGGGGGAAACACUGAGCCAGCCAUCCCGAGUGUAUGAGAAAGCCUUCAGGUUGUAAAGUACUGGUGGCAGGGAACCGGGAUCUGCAGAAUAAGCACCGGCUGACUACGAGCGAGGAGCCGCAGUAAUAC